UACGUAGGUGGCAGGCGUUGUCCGGAUUUACUGGGCGUAAAGAGCGCGCAGGCGGUCGUUCAAGUCGAGUGUGAAAGCCCCCGGCUCAACUGGGGAGGGUCACUCGAUACUGAUCGACUCGAAGGCAGAAGAGGGAAGCGGAAUUCCCGGUGUAGUGGUGAAAUGCGUAGAUAUCGGGAGGAACACCAGUGGCGAAGGCGGCUUUCUGGUCUGCUCUGACGCUGAGGCGCGAAAGCUAGGGUAGCAAACGGG
rnacentral:rRNA from 1 species